rnacentral:rRNA from 1 species
GAUGAACGCUGGCGGCGUGCCUAACACAUGCAAGUCGAGCGUGAUCUAUGAGGACGAAACUUCGGUCUAGGAAUCAUAAUGAAAGCGGCGGACGGGUGAGUAACGCGUAGGCAACCUGCCCUUAACACAGGGAUAGCCUCGGGAAACCGGGAUUAAAACCUGAUGAUGCCAAAGAGUCACAUGGCUCGUUGGCCAAAGAUUUAUCGGUUAAGGAUGGGCCUGCGUCUGAUUAGUUUGUUGGUGGGGUAACGGCCUACCAAGACUACGAUCAGUAGCCGACCGUAGAGGCUGAUCGGCCACAUUGGAACUGAGACACGGUCCAAACGCCUACGGGAGGCAGCAGUGGGGAAUAUUGCACAAUGGGCGAAAGCCUGAUGCAGCAACGCCGCGUGAGCGAUGAAGGCCUUUGGGUCGUAAAGCUCUGUCCUUGGGGAAGAAACAAAUGACGGUACCCAAGGAGGAAGCCCCGGCUAACUACGUGCCAGCCGCCGCCGUAACAC